UACGUAGGUGGCAAGCGUUGUCCGGAAUUAUUGGGCGUAAAGCGCGCGCAGGCGGUCCUUUAAGUCUGAUGUGAAAGCCCACGGCUCAACCGUGGAGGGUCAUUGGAAACUGGGGGACUUGAGUGCAGAAGAGGAAAGCGGAAUUCCACGUGUAGCGGUGAAAUGCGUAGAGAUGUGGAGGAACACCAGUGGCGAAGGCGACUCUCUGGUCUGUAACUGACGCUGAGGAGCGAAAGCGUGGGGAGCGAACAGG
rnacentral:rRNA from 1 species